rnacentral:rRNA from 1 species
GGGUUUCCUCGGUACUGAAGUUAACACAUUAAGUACUCCGCCUGAGUAGUACGUACGCAAGUAUGAAACUUAAAGGAAUUGACGGGAUCCCGCACAAGCGGUGGAUCAUGUUGUUUAAUUCGAAGAUACACGAAAAACCUUACCAGGUCUUGACAUUAUCCUGCGAAGCUAUAGAAAUAUAGGGGAGGUUAUCAGGAUAACAGGUGGUGCAUGGUUGUCGUCAGCUCGUGUCGUGAGAUGUUAGGUUAAGUCCUAAAACGAGCGCAACCCUUGUCGUUAGUUACCAGCACGUUAUGGUGGGGACUUUAGCGAGACUGCCAAUGAAAAAAUUGGAGGAAGGUGAGGAUUACGUCAAAUCAUCAUGCCCCUUAUGAUCUGGGCUACAAACGUGAUACAAUGGCUAUUACAAAGAGCAGCUGAAACGUGAGUUGUUAGCUAAUCUCAAAAAAAUAGUCUCAGUUCGGAUUGAAGUCUGCAACUCGACUUCAUGAAGUUGGAAUCGCUAGUAAUCGCGAAUCAGCAUGUCGCGGUGAAUACGUUCUCGGGGUUUGUACACACCGCCCGUCAAACCAUGAAAGUUGACAAUACCCAAAACCAGUCGCUUAACUACUUCGGUAGAGGGAGCUGUCUAAGGUAGGGUCGAUGAUUGGGGUUAAGUCGUAACAAGGUAUCCCUACCGGAAGGUGGGGAUGGAUCACCUCCUUUCUAAGGAAAUGUCGUAUCAUGAUCAUCUUCAGUUUUGAAAGACUUAGAGUAGAUAAGUUUUUCUUUUGGCGUAGAGGAAGGGCCUAUAGCUCAGUUGGUAGAGCACACGCUUGAUAAGCGUGCGGUCAAUGGUUCAAGUCCAUUUAGGCCCACCAUACCACAUUC